rnacentral:rRNA from 1 species
AGGAUGAACGCUGGCGGUCUGCUUAACACAUGCAAGUCGAACGGAGUACCUCGGUACUUAGUGGCGGACGGGUGAGUAACGCGUGAGAAUCUGCCCUUAGGUCGGGGACAACCAUUGGAAACGAUGGCUAAUACCGGAUAAGCCGAGAGGUAAAAGAUUAAUUGCCUAGGGAAGAGCUCGCGUCUGAUUAGCUAGUUGGUGAGGUAAAGGCUCACCAAGGCAUCGAUCAGUAGCUGGUCUGAGAGGAUGAUCAGCCACACUGGGACUGAGACACGGCCCAGACUCCUACGGGAGGCAGCAGUGGGGAAUUUUCCGCAAUGGGCGAAAGCCUGACGGAGCAAGACCGCGUGAGGGAGGAAGGCUCUUGGGUUGUAAACCUCUUUUCUUGGGGAAGAACAAAAUGACGGUACCCAAGGAAUCAGCAUCGGCUAACUCCGUGCCAGCAGCUGC